GGGAAUCAUUUUCAAAUUCAUGCCAAUGAGCAUCUGGCCUACAGACGGCUCUGGGGUGGGGCAUGAACUCUAAUGAUGCUCUUAUAAUGAUAGAGGAGUUUGACAGCAGAGCAGCUGCGCUCAUUUGACAGCAUGGACUAAACGUGAUGCGCGUGAACAGCAGAUCACCUCUACGAUCGAGUGCAUGUUACAUUUGUGUAAUGCACAUUAUGUCCUUUUUUACUACAAGUGCCUAAAUCAAGACAUUGGGUAAUGUGAAGGCAUUAUCAGUCAUAAAAUGCGCACAGGAUAUGCAAUUUCCUUUAGAAGUGAACCAAUGCAGACAAGUCCCCGUGUGAGGAACUUGAUUCGCCCUGGAGUCUCCAUAUCAUCUUGAAGCUGGACGAUGCGCGCGGAACUUUCCAGAUAAGUCAAUGUUAUGAAUUUACAUUAUGCCGUCACUACAUCAUGGCGCUAUUUUUAUUGGAGUAUUUUUAAUAGUCACCGGUGGCUCCACCGCUUUCCUAACCUCUAAUCAAAGUCGACUGCAGCCGUUCAGCAUGUGCUGUGUGGUGCUCGGGGCGGUGAUGCUCAUAUUAGGGCUCUUCUGGGCGAUGAACGGCAAGAGAAACCCGGUGCCUUAUAAUGAAGAGUACAGCCACGACUUCAGUCAAGCCCUGUUCACCCCACCGCCCGGAAACCACUUCCCCGAGUCCCAGUCCGUCUUUCUGCACGGGACUUUGCAAAGGCGAUGUGUAUAUGGUGAAGAUUUGGAUUAUCCCCCGAUGGAGCCAACCUGUUUUAGCCCUACCAGUCGGGGUCGGCCACCUCACUGGGACAUGGAACCUCCACCGCCUUAUGAGGUGGCCAUCAAAACCACUAGGAGCUCCACGCACCUGAGACGCAGCUACUCAGACACACAGCUGCUCACUGAACCUCUGUUUGGACGCUCAAGGGAGAUUAGUUUCGAAGUGUGACAUCUGAGCCACGUUCAUCUCUUGAGACCCAAACUAAGGAGCUGAAUAGCCACCCUAAGUAUUCGCAAACAAGUGUUGAUGAGGCUUCAAAACAGGCAUUGACAAUCCACAGCUCGUCGAGUCGAGGGGGUGUUUUGUGCCUCUUGAGAUGGUUCUGGUCUUAAACAUGUGUUUACAGCAUUUAUUUCAGACAGAUAUGUAGAAUACUGUGCUUUUUCUCAAAUAAAAUGCAUUAUAAAUAAAAAAAAAAUCUAUAA
ensembl:lncRNA